GUCCGCUCGACCAUAAAUUUUCAGGUCUUUUCCUUUUUCCAAUCAGGUCAAACUUUUGGCAUAAAAAAAUUGAAAUAUGGAUAUUCUCAUUUAAUAAAAUUCAACUUGAGGAAAUUCCAUUGAAUAAUAAAAAGUUAUUGCAAUUUGAAUAAUUUGAGUCAUAUAUCUUUAGGUCUAUUCAAAUCUUUUCAGGUCUUUAGUGUACCCCACACAGCAGCCAUUUUGAACUAGAUAUCUAGUACCCCUCUUGUAUAGUUGACUAAAAGUUCGAUAAAUUUGUACUUCCGGUAAACUGGCUUUGGUUCGAGUGAACUGUAGUUCAAUAUAGUGAACUAUAGUGUUGACCUGAAGUCACCCUAUGUAAUCAUAUAUUUUGUUUUAAUCCCUCAUAGAUCAUUGAUUAUUAAAAAAGAUUUAUGAUACCUGUAGGAAGAUUUUAAUUUCAAAGCCUUUCAGUGUAAGAUUGAAUCAUAAUGAGUAAAGGUGGUGAGCUUGGUGAGACA
rnacentral:lncRNA from 1 species